CCUACGGGUGGCAGCAGUGGGGAAUAUUGCACAAUGGGCGAAAGCCUGAUGCAGCCACGCCGCGUGAGUGAAGAAGUAUUUCGGUAUGUAAAGCUCUAUCAGCCGGGAAGAUAAUGCCGGUACCUGACCAAGAAGCCCCGGUUAACUACGUGCCAGCAGCCGCGGUAAUACGUCGGGGGCAAGCGUUAUCCGGAGUUACUGGGGGUAAAGGGGGCGUAGGUGGCUGGGCAAUUCAGAUGUGAAAGCCACGGGCUCAACCCCGGUACUGCAUUUGAAACUGGCCGGCUAGAGUGCAGGAGAGGUAUGCGGAAUGCGUGGGGUAGCGGUGAAAUGCGUAGAUAUUGGGAGGAACACCAGUGGCGAAGGCGGCUUACUGGAC
rnacentral:rRNA from 1 species